GUUUGUCUGAAAACGCAAAACGCAAAAGUAAAGUGCAACCCGGGGCAAGCAUUAUAAUUGUGGCUUGUAGUUUGUGGUUUCAGUUUUUUACGCCUAUCCUCAAUUUUUGAGAUUUUUGUGAAGAAAUUUACAGCACGGAAACAACAACAAUUCGCGUAUGAGCUUUUAUCAAAACAUGAGAGGAAGCUAACAUGCAAGGCUAGAUCGACUCGGCUGUCGAUGUCUCUUUUACUGCGAUGUACACUUCUGACUGAAAUUAUAAGGGUAUGUGCAUUUUUGUCUUGAAAUGGAAUGCAAAUCACCAAAUGUUAAAAAUACGUUCUACUAACAAAACUGUUUAUGCAACAACGCUGUGCAGCUAACUCUCACCUGUCCUUCACCGACCUCGCCUGGCCUCAACAACUGUAAUAUUAUUGAAUCGUAUUAUAAUACUGAGCAAAGAAUUAUACACUCUAUCAAAAAUUAUGGAAUUAAAACGACUUAAUAUUCCUAAAAGCGCCAUAAGAUGUAGUGGUCCGAUCCGACUUGCUCCGAUAUAUAUACUAAUGUAUUUUUAAAAAGAAGACUUGGCGAUAGCUUUAAAACUGAGGAACUAGUUUGCGUAGAAACGAACAGACGGACAUGGCUAUAUAGGCUCCGCUGUUCAAGAAUCUAUACAUACAUAUGUGUGAUCUACAGAUGUUCCACAUAAAAUCACAAUCAUUUUUAAAUUAUUUGACCCAUCUGUAUUAAAAGUUCAGGUUCGAAAGUUAAAUAUCUUUAAAAAAACAGUUCGGCUUCUAGCACUCAGCUUAUAUCAAUGUACUAUAAUGAGAAAGCUAGCUUCCUAUAAAGGUGUGUGGUUAAUGAUGUUAUUAGUAUGUAAACAUGGUUUGACAGCCUGGAAUCUAAUGAUCAGGAUGAAGUAAGGUAAUAAUAUAAGACUAAUAUUCUUAUUUAUACGUAUAUUUAAUUAAAUACAUUAUUAUACUGUGUAAAUAUAAGCUUUAAAAGAAUCGCAAUGACGAAGAAUGAUAUACCCGUAUUUAUGUAUUUUAAGUUGCACACGACCCACCACGUUUUGGAAAACGGAAAUUCGAUCGCCUUUUCCCAUUCAGCAUAAAUGUUGUUAAUGGAAAACAUUUUACUGAAUAAACGAAUAUUUAUGUAUUGCAUGUUUAUUUUUAGUCGUUCGCAGUCACCGGCUGUGAAAAAAACCUGUACAUACAAAUACAGAACUCACACGACUCUAUCUUUAUUUAUUCAAACAUAGAUACAUGCCUAUAUAUAAAUAUCCGCAUAUAUAUUAGUACAUAAUCAAAGAUUUUUAUAAAACGAAAAGGUAUGAGGAACGCAGGAAAUGAUCGGUUUUAAAUUGUCUUGAGUUUGUUUUUUGCACAUCAUUUUGCAUUUUACUAUACAACAUUUUAUUGUAACCUAUGUCACCCAUUAAAAAAUAUUUUUUGUCCCCAAAGAUUAAAUUAGAUGUUGUAUUUUAAACGAACACAUUCACGAUUGCACAGCCAUAUACUGU